GUCGGACCAGGCUUCAUUCCCC
rnacentral:miRNA from 1 species